rnacentral:misc_RNA from 1 species
AAGAGUUAAGCCAUGCAUCCGAAUCAAAUCAGUUGAGACGAGAAACUUGACGAAACCUUGACUAAACGCAAAACCAUAUAUGAGCACAUUAUGAAAGCGAGCUCUACAACAUCAGAAUAUUCAAAUAAUAAAUAACCUUAGAUUGAAUAGGAAAGAUUCAAUCCAAACAAGCUUAACUAGAUCGAUGACAUAACAAAAUAUACUUAUUGGCAUGAGGAGUGGCA